CGUGGCCAGGUGUCAAGUGAGGCCCGCACGGCGGACGAAGACAAGGUGCGUGUGCUUCUGGCGCUACGGGGCCGUGCGCUGGAACGGACGGCCGCCAGCACCCAUCGUGGUCGCCUGACCACGCCCCAUGCGUGUUAGCACCUUACAAGGAGAUUUGAGGGCGCCACGUGUGAUGCCCGCUGUGCCGUCGCCAACAUCUCACUGCAGGGGAAGUAUCUCGACGGCACGCUCCACCUGCCCUCCCAUGGAUCCGCCCCUGGCCGGCCACUACCUCAACUACAACACGCUCUAGCGGCAUCCAGCAGGAGCUGGCUGCGGAUCCCGCAAACGGUGCCAAGACCGUGCGCAAGCCGGUCUUCACCACCGUCAACCAGUUGCGCCCCCAGAUGCAUGGCCACACUCUUGUCGUCUGCGUCGUCUCCGCCCACACCAUCAUCGACAAAUCUUCCAUGCACAUUGGUCGCACCUGCAUCGCCAAGUGCCUCGUCGGAUACAACACCGACACCGUCCUCAUCACACCCGCAACAAUUAGGAUACACUCACGGUGUGCUGGUGUGUAUGUGUGGAGGAAGAGCCUGACGGAGGCUAAGGGAGAGGAAUCAGUAGAGCAAAUCAGCAAGAUGAGACAGAUGUGUAGCUGCUGGUGUUUCUCCACUAUCGCGACCUCACUGCUCAAGCAUGGCCUAUAUAGAGUGACGAGAACACCAUGGAACGGAGUUGUGCUGUUGUGGUGCGGAGUAGGAGCGUCUAAGCGAGGAGAGAAUCACAGGCGAUUUCUCUCAUUGUUGUUUUGGCGUCGUUUCUAAUUCUAUGUUGAAACAAAGUGUUUGUCUCAUUAGGGCGUGUCUCCUCGCUUUUUCUCGCAUAAGAAUCCAGUAAAAAGGUUCUCCAAAUAGGCUCUUUGACUACUACAGUUCAUCGAUUCGAUUCUCCCAUCUAUAUCCUUUGUGGUUGCCCAUCCGGCUAUCCCAUUA